CACGUUGGGGGGUGGGGGGUGGGGGGGGGAGACGCGACACGGCUCGGGCCCGCCAGUGCCCCAACGGGGUCCUAGUUAUUAUUUUUCCUCCCCUUUGAACUGGAAAAUGGCCCACUUCCCACUGGCGAAAACUCAUGAAAUUUGGCAGGACGACCGGGCCUGGUGAAAAAUUUGAUAUUCCGAAGUCGCCCAAACAAGAAAAUGCAAAAUGGCUCCAUAGCGCCCCCUAAGGUGAAAAUUCACACUAUUCACUGUCACGCCUGUACGCUUUGUCAAAAUGACACAAAAAUUGACACACACAUGUAUCUCAAUAAGAUCUACAAAAAAGUCAGUGCGGGCGUAUCUGUCAAAUGUACGGUUAAAGGGUUAUUUCGCAUUUUUUGCCGAUCCGCACACAUUGGAAUUUCGCUAACUCCUCCGAAGGCUUUCGUUCCACCGGCACCACAUUUGCUCAGGCCAAUCUACACCCCAUGGCCAUUAAAAGUUAUUCAAAUCAUGACGCUGCACCCCACGGUUUAGGUUCUAGGGGGCGCCAAAGAUAACCCUAAGAUCCACAUAUUUAAAAGUCUUAUAACUUUUUAUUUUUGCCCUCACUGGCCUCCAAGUUUUCUAGGAUGAUGCAAUGUCCAGCCAUCAACACAUUUGUGAAGGAAUUUUUACUCCCCAAAAGAGCGCCCCCCCAUGGCAGGAGAAAAAAGUCCAUUUUUUCUUGUCCCCUAAGGUGAAAAUACACAUUGUUGAGUGUAACACCUGUACGCUUUGGCAAAAUGACACAAAAAUUGACACACACAUGUAUCUCAAUAAGAUCUACGAAAAAGUCAAUGCGCGCGUAUCUGUCAAAUGUACGGUUAAAGGGUUAUUCCGCAUUUUUUGCCGAUCCGCACACAUUGGAAUUUCGCUAACUCCUCCGAAGGCUUUCGUUCCACCGGCACCACAUUUGCUCAGGCCAAUCUACACCCCAUGGCCAUUAAAAGUUAUUCAAAUCAUGACGCUGCACCCCACGGUUUAGGUUCUAGGGGGAGCCAAAGAUAACCGUAAAAUCCACAUAUUUAAAAGUCUUAUAACUUUUUAUUUUUGUCCCCACUGGCCUCCAAGUUUUCUAGGAUGAUGCAAUGUCCAGCCAUCAACACAUUUGUGAAGGAAUUUUUACUCGCCAAAAGAGCGCCCCCCAUGGCAGGAGAAGAAAGUCAAUUUUUUCUUGUCCACUAAGGUGAAAAUACACAUUGUUGAGUGCUACGCCUGUAUGUUUUGUCGUAUUGACACAAAAUUUUACAUACACGUGUAUUUCAAUAAGAUCUUCGAAAAAGUCAAUGGCCACGUAUCUGUAAAAUGUACGGUUAAAGGGUUAUUUCGCAUUUUUUGCAGAUUGGCACACAUUGGAAUUUCGCUAAUUCCUCCGAAGGCUUUCGUUCCACCGGCACCACAUUUGCUCAGGCCAAUCUACACCCCAUGGCCAUUAAAAGUUAUUCAAAUCAUGACGCUGCACCCCACGGUUUAGGUUCUAGGGGGCGCCAAAUAUAACCCUAAAAUCCACAUAUUUAAAAGUCUUAUAACUUUUUAUUUUUGUCCUCACUGGCCUCCAUGUUUUCUAGGAUGAUGCAAUGUCCAGCCAUCAACACAUUUGUGAAGGAGUUUUUUCUCUUUAAAAGAGCGCCCCCCAUGGCAGGAGAAUAAAGUCAAGUUUUUCCUGUUCAUCAUUCAAUGGCUCAAACGCACUGCUCUCUCGGCAAAAGCGAAAGGAGGAGCAACUUGCCAUUUGGAUAUAUCUUAGCUGUGUUUGUGCCCUCACUCAUGGUCCAGACUUUUUUCAAAUAGGACAUGGAGUUUUUCUGCAGCGAGCGUUUUGGUAGAAACUGCGCCUCCCGUUCAUUAUAAUGGUAAAUGACCACAAACAAGUGCGCACACCAUCUUUGGACCUUGAGUGUGACGCGAUCGGGUGGGGGAGGCGGUCGCGCUGGGGGCGGCGUGACACGGCUCGGGCCCGCCAGUGCCCCAACGGGGCCCUAGUUCUUCUUUUUCCUCCCCUUUGAACUGGAAAAUGGCCCACUUCCCACUGGCGAAAACUCAUGAAAUUUGGCAGGACGACCGGGCCUGGUGAAAAAUUCGAUAUUCUGAAGUCGCCCAAACAAUAAAAUUCAAAAUGGCUCCAUAGCGCCCCCUAAGGUGGAAAUUCACACUAUUGACUGUCACGCCUGUACGCUUUGUCAUAUUGACACAAAAAUUGACACACAUAUGUAUCUCAAUAAGAUCUACAAAAAAGUCAGUGCGGCCGUAUCUGUCAAAAUUACGGUUAAAGGGUUAUUUCGCAUUUUUUGCCGAUCCGCACACAUUGGAAUUUCGCUAACUCCUCCGAAGGCUUUCGUUCCACCGGCACCACAUUUGCUCAGGCCAAUCUACACCCCGUGGCCAUUAAAAGUUAUCAAAAUCAUGACGCUGCACCCCAAGGUUUAGGUUCUAGGGGGCGCCAAAGAUAACACUAAAAUCCACAUAUUUAAAAGUCUUAUAACUUUUUAUUUUUGUCCUCACUGGCCUCCAAGUUUUCUAGGAUGAUGCAAUGUCCAGCCAUCAACACAUUUGUGAAGGAAUUUUUACUCCCCAAAAGAGCGCCCCCCCAUGGCAGGAGAAAAAAGUCCAUUUUUUCUUGUCACCUAAGGUGAAAAUACACAUUGUUGAGUGUAACACCUGUACGCUUUGGCAAAAUGACACAAAAAUUGACACACACAUGUAUCUCAAUAAGAUCUACGAAAAAGUCAAUGCGCGCGUAUCUGUCAAAUGUACGGUUAAAGGGUUAUUCCGCAUUUUUUGCCGAUCCGCACACAUUGGAAUUUCGCUAACUCCUCCGAAGGCUUUCGUUCCACCGGCACCACAUUUGCUCAGGCCAAUCUACACCCCAUGGCCAUUAAAAGUUAUUCAAAUCAUGACGCUGCAUCCCACGGUUUAGGUUCUAGGGGGCGCCAAAGAUAACCCUAAAAUCCACAUAUUUAAAAGUCUUAUAACUUUUUAUUUUUGUCCUCACUGGCCUCCAAGUUUUCUAGGAUGAUGCAAUGUCCAGCCAUCAACACAUUUGUGAAGGAAUUUUUACUCCCCAAAAGAGCGCCCCCCCAUGGCAGGAGAAAAAAGUCAAUUUUUUCUUGUCCCCUAAGGUGGAAAUUCACACUAUUGACUGUCACGCCUGUACGCUUUAUCAUAUUGACACAAAAAUUGACACACAUAUGUAUCUCAAUAAGAUCUACAAAAAAGUCAAUUCGCGCGUAUCUGUCAAAUGUACGGUUAAAGGGCUAUUUUUCAUUUUUUGCCGAUUCGCACACAUUGGAAUGUGGCUAACUCCUCCUAAGGCUUUCGUCCCACUGACACCAAAUUUGCUCAGGCCAAUCUACACCCCAUGGCCAUUCAAAGUUGUAAAAAUCAUGACGCUGCACCCCACGGUUUAGGUUCUAGGGGGCGCCAAAGAGGACCCAAAAAUCCACAUUCUUAAAAGAAUCCACAUCCCCCCCCCUAUGGCAGGAGAAAAAGUCAAGUUUUUCCUGCCCAUCGCUCAAUGGCUCAAUCGCAUCGCUCUCCAGGCAACACCGUAAGGAGGAGCAACCUGGCAUUUCGAUAUAUCAUAGCUGUGUUUGUGCCCUCACUCAUGGUCCAGACUUUUUUCAAAUAGGACAUGAAGUUUGUCUGCAGCGAGUGUUUUGGUAGAAACUGCGCCUCCCAUUCAUUAUAAUGGGAAAUGACCACAGACAAGUGCGCACACCAUCUUUGGUUCUUGAGUGUGACGCGAUCGGGACGGGGAGGCGGUCGCACUGGGGGCGGCGCGACGCGGCUCGGGCCCGACAGUGCCCCACCGGGGCCCUAGUUCUUUCUUUCUUUCUUCUUUUUCCUCCCCUUUGAACUGGAAAAUGGCCCACUUCCCACUGGCGAAAACUCAUGAAAUUUGGCAGGACGACCGGGCCUGGUGAAAAAUUCGAUAUUCUGAAGUCGCCCAAACAAUAAAAUGCAAAAUGGCUCCAUAGCGCCCCCUAAGGUGGAAAUUCACACUAUUGACUGUCACGCCUGUACGCUUUGUCAUAUUGACACAAAAAUUGACACACAUAUGUAUCUCAAUAAGAUCUACAAAAAAGUCAGUGCGGCCGUAUCUGUCAAAAUUACGGUUAAAGGGUUAUUUCGCAUUUUUUGCCGAUCUGCACACAUUGGAAUUUCGCUAACUCCUCCGAAGGCUUUCGUUCCACCGGCACCACAUUUGCUCAGGCCAAUCUACACCCCGUGGCCAUUAAAAGUUAUCAAAAUCAUGACGCUGCACCCCAAGGUUUAGGUUCUAGGGGGCGCCAAAGAUAACACUAAAAUCCACAUAUUUAAAAGUCUUAUAACUUUUUAUUUUUGUCCUCACUGGCCUCCAAGUUUUCUAGGAUGAUGCAAUGUCCAGCCAUCAACACAUUUGUGAAGGAAUUUUUACUCCCCAAAAGAGCGCCCCCCCAUGGCAGGAGAAAAAAGUCCAUUUUUUCUUGUCCCCUAAGGUGAAAAUACACAUUGUUGAGUGUCACGCCUAUACGCUUUGUCAAAAUGACACAAAAAUUGACACACACAUGUAACUCAAUAAGAUCUACGAAAAAGUCAAUGCGCGCGUAUCUGUCAAAUGUACGGUUAAAGGGUUAUUUCGCAUUUUUUGCCGAUCCGCACACAUUGGAAUUUCGCUAACUCCUCCGAAGGCUUUCGUUCCACCGGCACCACAUUUGCUCAGGCCAAUCUACACCCCGUGGCCAUUAAAAGUUAUCAAAAUCAUGACGCUGCACCCCACGGUUUACGUUCUAGGGGGCGCCAAAGAUAACCCUAAAAUCCACAUAUUUAAAAGUCUUAUAACUUUUUAUUUUUGUCCUCACUGGCCUCCAAGUUUUCUAGGAUGAUGCAAUGUCCAGCCAUCAACACAUUUGUGAAGGAAUUUUUACUCCCCAAAAGAGCGCCCCCCCAUGGCAGGAGAAAAAAGUCCAUUUUUUCUUGUCCCCUAAGGUGAAAAUACAUAUUGUUGAGAUUCACGCCUAUACGCUUUGUCAUAUUGACACAAAAUUUGACAAUCACAUGUAUCUCAAUCAGAUCUACGAAAAAGUCUAUGCGCGCGUAUCUGUAAAAUGUACGGUUAAAGGGCUAUUUUGCAUUUUUUGCCGAUUCGCACACAUUGGAAUGUGGCUAACUCCUCCUAAGGCUUUCGUCCCACUGACACCAAAUUUGCUCAGGCCAAUCUACACCCCAUGGCCAUUCAAAGUUGUAAAAAUCAUGACGCUGCACCCCACGGUUUACGUUCUAGGGGGCGCCAAAGAUGACCCAAAUAUCCACAUUCUUAAAAGAAUCCACAUCCCCCCCAUCCCCCAUCCCCCAUGGCAGGAGAAACAGUCAAGUUUUUCCUGCCCAUCACUCAAUGGCUCAUUCGCAUCACUCUCCCGGCAACACCGUAACGAGGAGCAACUUGCCGUUUGGAUAUAUCCUAGCUGUGUUUGUGCCCUCACUCAUGGUCCAGACUUUUUUCAAAUAGGACAUGUAGUUUGUCUGCAGCGAGUGUUUUGGUAGAAACUGCGCCUCCCAUUCAUUAUAAUGGGAAAUGACCACAGACAAGUGCGCACACCAUCUUUGGACCUUGAGUGUGACGCGAUCGGGAGGGGUAGGCGGUCGCGCUGGGGGCGGCGCAACGCGGCUCGGGCCCGACAGUGCCCCACCGGGGUCCUAGUUAGGGCCCGAGCGUAGCUGCUAAGCAGCUGCGAGAGCCCUAUUAUUCCCCAAGGGGUUUUUAGGGCCCGAGCGUAGCUGCUAAGCAGCUGCAAGAGCCCUCUUGUUCCUGUAGUUUCCUUCUUUAGGGCCCGAGCGUAGCUGCUAAGCAGCUGCGAGAGCCCUAUUAUUCCUGAUGGAUUCUUCUUUCUUCUUCUUCUUCUUCUUAUUAUUUUUCUGCCCCUUUGAACUGGAAAAUGGCCCACUUCCCACUGGUGAAAAGUCAUGAAAUUUGGCAGGACGACCGGGCCUGGUGAAAAAUUCGAUAUUCUGAAGUCGCCCAAAAAAUCAAAUGCAAAAUGGCUCCAUAGCGCCCCCUAAGGUGAAAAAUUCACAUGAUUGAGUGUCACGCCUGUACGCUUUGUCAAAAUGACACAAAAUUUGACACACACGUGUAUCUCAAUAAGAUCUACAAAAAAGUCAGUGCGGGCGUAUCUGUCAAAUGUACGGUUAAAGGGCUAUUUCGCAUUUUUUGCCGAUCCGCACACAUUGGAAUUUCGCUAACUCCUCCGAAGGCUUUCGUUCCACCGGCACCAAAUUUGCUCAGGCCAAUCUACACCCCAUGGCCAUUAAAAGUUGUACAAAUCAUGACGCUGCAUCCCACGGUUUACGUUCUAGGGGGCGCCAAAGAUAACCCAGAAAUCCACAUUCUUAAAAGUCGUAUAACUUUUUAUUUUUGUCCUCACUGGCCUCCAAGUUUUCUAGGAUGAUGCAAUGUCCAGCCAUCAACACAUUUGUGAAGGAAUUUUUACUCCCCAAAAGAGCGCCCCCCCAUGGCAGGAGAAAAAAGUCCAUUUUUUCUUGUCUCCUAAGGCGAAAAUUCACACUAUUGACUGUCACGCCUUUACGCUUUGUCAUAUUGACACAAAAAAUGACACACACAUGUAUCUCAAUAAGAUCUACAAAAAAGUCAGUGCGGGCGUAUCUGUCAAAUGUACGGUGAAAGGGCUAUUUCGCAUUUUUUGCCGAUCCGCACACAUUGGAAUUUCGCUAACUCCUCCGAAGGCUUUCGUUCCAAAGGCACCACAUUUGCUCAGGCCAAUCUACACCCCAUGGCCAUUAAAAGUUGUACAAAUCAUGACGCUGCACCCCACGGUUUACGUUCUAGGGGGCGCCAAAGAUAACCCAAAAAUCCACAGUCUUAAAAGUCUUAUAACUUUUUAUUUUUGUCCUCACUGGCCUCCAAGUUCUCUAGGAUGAUGCAAUGUCCAGCCAUCAACACAUUUGUGAAGGAAUUUUUACUCGCCAAAAGAGCGCCCCCCCAUGGCAGGAGAAAAAAGUCCAUUUUUUCUUGUCUCCUAAGGCGAAAAUACACAUUGUUGACUGUCACGCCUUUACGCUUUGUCAAAAUGACACAAAAUUUGACACACACAUGUAUCUCAAUAAGAUCUACAAAAAAGUCAGUGCGGGCGUAUCUGUCAAAUGUACGGUUAAAGGGUUAUUUCGCAUUUUUUGCCGAUCCGCACACAUUGGAAUUUCGCUAACUCCUCCUAAAUCUUUUGUCCCAUCGGCUUCAAAUUUGCUCAGGUCAAUCUACACCCCAUGGCCAUUCAAAAUUGUACAAAUCAUGACGCUGCACCCCACAGUUUACGUUCUAGGGGGCGCCAAAGAGGACCCAAAUAUCCACAUUUUUAAAAGUCUUAUAACUUUUUAUUUUUGUCCUCACUGGCCUCCAAGUUUUCUAGGAUGAUGCAAUGUCCAGCCAUCAACACAUUUGUGAAGGAAUUUUUUCUCCCCAAAAGAGGGCCCCCCCAUGGCAGGAGAAAAAGUCAAGUUUUUCCUGCCCAUCGCUCAAUGGCUCAAACGCAUCGCUCUCUCUGCAAAACCGAAAGGAGGAGCAACUUGCCAUUUGGAUAUAUACUAGCUGUGUUUGUGCCCUCACUCAUGGUCCAGACUUUUUUCAAAUAGGACAUGUAGUUUGUCUGCAGCGAGCGUUUUGGUAGAAACUGCGCCUCCCAUUCAUUAUAAUGGGAAAUGACCACAGACAAGUGCGCACACCAUCUUUGGACCUUGAGUGUGACGCGAUCGGGAGGGGGAGGCGGUCGCGCUGGGGGCGGCGCGACGCGGCUCGGGCCCGACAGUGCCCCACCGGGGCCCUAGUUCUUCUUCUUCUUCUUCUUAUUAUUUUUCUGCCCCUUUGAACUGGAAAAUGGCCCACUUCCCACUGGUGAAAAGUCAUGAAAUUUGGCAGGACGACCGGGCCUGGUGAAAAAUUCGAUAUUCUGAAGUCGCCCAAAAAAUCAAAUGCAAAAUGGCUCCAUAGCGCCCCCUAAGGUGAAAAAUUCACAUGAUUGAGUGUCACGCCUGUACGCUUUGUCAAAAUGACACAAAAUUUGACACACACGUGUAUCUCAAUAAGAUCUACAAAAAAGUCAGUGCGGCCGUAUCUGUCAAAUGUACGGUUAAAGGGCUAUUUCGCAUUUUUUGCCGAUCCGCACACAUUGGAAUUUCGCUAACUCCUCCGAAGGCUUUCGUUCCACCGGCACCAAAUUUGCUCAGGCCAAUCUACACCCCAUGGCCAUUAAAAGUUGUACAAAUCAUGACGCUGCAUCCCACGGUUUACGUUCUAGGGGGCGCCAAAGAUAACCCAGAAAUCCACAUUCUUAAAAGUCGUAUAACUUUUUAUUUUUGUCCUCACUGGCCUCCAAGUUUUCUAGGAUGAUGCAAUGUCCAGCCAUCAACACAUUUGUGAAGGAAUUUUUACUCCCCAAAAGAGCGCCCCCCCAUGGCAGGAGAAAAAAGUCCAUUUUUUCUUGUCUCCUAAGGCGAAAAUUCACACUAUUGACUGUCACGCCUUUACGCUUUGUCAUAUUGACACAAAAAUUGACACACACAUGUAUCUCAAUAAGAUCUACAAAAAAGUCAGUGCGGGCGUAUCUGUCAAAUGUACGGUGAAAGGGCUAUUUCGCAUUUUUUGCCGAUCCGCACACAUUGGAAUUUCGCUAACUCCUCUGAAGGCUUUCGUUCCAAAGGCACCACAUUUGCUGAGGCCAAUCUACACCCCAUGGCCAUUAAAAGUUGUACAAAUCAUGAUGCUGCACCCCACGGUUUACGUUCUAGGGGGCGCCAAAGAUAACCCAAAAAUCCACAGUCUUAAAAGUCUUAUAACUUUUUAUUUUUGUCCUCACUGGCCUCCAAGUUCUCUAGGAUGAUGCAAUGUCCAGCCAUCAACACAUUUGUGAAGGAAUUUUUACUCGCCAAAAGAGCGCCCCCCAUGGCAGGAGAAAAAAGUCCAUUUUUUCUUGUCUCCUAAGGCGAAAAUACACAUUGUUGACUGUCACGCCUUUACGCUUUGUCAAAAUGACACAAAAUUUGACACACACAUGUAUCUCAAUAAGAUCUACAAAAAAGUCAGUGCGGGCGUAUCUGUCAAAUGUACGGUUAAAGGGUUAUUUCGCAUUUUUUGCCGAUCCGCACACAUUGGAAUUUCGCUAACUCCUCCUAAAUCUUUUGUCCCAUCGGCUUCAAAUUUGCUCAGGUCAAUCUACACCCCAUGGCCAUUCAAAGUUGUACAAAUCAUGACGCUGCACCCCACAGUUUACGUUCUAGGGGGCGCCAAAGAGGACCCAAAUAUCCACAUUUUUAAAAGUCUUAUAACUUUUUAUUUUUGUCCUCACUGGCCUCCAAGUUUUCUAGGAUGAUGCAAUGUCCAGCCAUCAACACAUUUGUGAAGGAAUUUUUUCUCCCCAAAAGAGCGCCCCCCCAUGGCAGGAGAAAAAGUCAAGUUUUUCCUGCCCAUCGCUCAAUGGCUCAAACGCAUCGCUCUCUCUGCAAAACCGAAAGGAGGAGCAACUUGCCAUUUGGAUAUAUACUAGCUGUGUUUGUGCCCUCACUCAUGGUCCAGACUUUUUUCAAAUAGGACAUGUAGUUUGUCUGCAGGAAGCGUUUUGGUAGAAACUGCGCCUCCCAUUCAUUAUAAUGGGAAAUGACCACAGACAAGUGCGCACACCAUCUUUGGACCUUGAGUGUGACGCAAUCGGGAGGGGGAGGCGGUCGCGCUGGGGGCGGCGCGACGCGGCUCGGGCCCGACAGUGCCCCACCGGGGCCCUAGUUUGUUAUUAUUAUUAUUAUUUUUCCUCCCCUUUGAACUGGAAAAUGGCCCACUUCCCACUGGCGAAAACUCAUGAAAUUUGGCAGGACGACCGGGCCUGGUGAAAAAUUUGAUAUUCCGAAGUCGCCCAAACAAGAAAAUGCAAAAUGGCUCCAUAGCGCCCCCUAAGGUGAAAAUUCACACUAUUCACUGUCACGCCGGUACGCUUUGUCAAAAUGACACAAAAAUUGACACACACAUGUAUCUCAAUAAGAUCUACAAAAAAGUCAGUGCGGGCGUAUCUGUCAAAUGUACGGUUAAAGGGUUAUUUCGCAUUUUUUGCCGAUCCGCACACAUUGGAAUUUCGCUAACUCCUCCGAAGGCUUUCGUUCCACCGGCACCACAUUUGCUCAGGCCAAUCUACACCCCAUGGCCAUUAAAAGUUAUUCAAAUCAUGACGCUGCACCCCACGGUUUAGGUUCUAGGGGGCGCCAAAGAUAACCCUAAGAUCCACAUAUUUAAAAGUCUUAUAACUUUUUAUUUUUGCCCUCACUGGCCUCCAAGUUUUCUAGGAUGAUGCAAUGUCCAGCCAUCAACACAUUUGUGAAGGAAUUUUUACUCCCCAAAAGAGCGCCCCCCAUGGCAGGAGAAAAAAGUCCAUUUUUUCUUGUCCCCUAAGGUGAAAAUACACAUUGUUGAGUGUAACACCUGUACGCUUUGGCAAAAUGACACAAAAAUUGACACACACAUGUAUCUCAAUAAGAUCUACGAAAAAGUCAAUGCGCGCGUAUCUGUCAAAUGUACGGUUAAAGGGUUAUUCCGCAUUUUUUGCCGAUCCGCACACAUUGGAAUUUCGCUAACUCCUCCGAAGGCUUUCGUUCCACCGGCACCACAUUUGCUCAGGCCAAUCUACACCCCAUGGCCAUUAAAAGUUAUUCAAAUCAUGACGCUGCACCCCACGGUUUAGGUUCUAGGGGGCGCCAAAGAUAACUGUAAAAUCCACAUAUUUAAAAGUCUUAUAACUUUUUAUUUUUGUCCCCACUGGCCUCCAAGUUUUCUAGGAUGAUGCAAUGUCCAGCCAUCAACACAUUUGUGAAGGAAUUUUUACUCGCCAAAAGAGCGCCCCCCAUGGCAGGAGAAAAAAGUCCAUUUUUUCUUGUCCACUAAGGUGAAAAUACACAUUGUUGAGUGCUACGCCUGUAUGUUUUGUCGUAUUGACACAAAAUUUUACAUACACGUGUAUUUCAAUAAGAUCUUCGAAAAAGUCAAUGGCCACGUAUCUGUAAAAUGUACGGUUAAAGGGUUAUUUCGCAUUUUUUGCAGAUUCGCACACAUUGGAAUUUCGCUAACUCCUCCGAAGGCUUUCGUUCCACCGGCACCACAUUUGCUCAGGCCAAUCUACACCCCAUGGCCAUUAAAAGUUAUUCAAAUCAUGACGCUGCACCCCACGGUUUAGGUUCUAGGGGGCGCCAAAGAUAACCCUAAAAUCCACAUAUUUAAAAGUCUUAUAACUUUUUAUUUUUGUCCUCACUGGCCUCCAUGUUUUCUAGGAUGAUGCAAUGUCCAGCCAUCAACACAUUUGUGAAGGAGUUUUUUCUCUUUAAAAGAGCGCCCCCCAUGGCAGGAGAAUAAAGUCAAGUUUUUCCUGUUCAUCAUUCAAUGGCUCAAACGCACUGCUCUCUCGGCAAAAGCGAAAGGAGGAGCAACUUGCCAUUUGGAUAUAUCUUAGCUGUGUUUGUGCCCUCACUCAUGGUCCAGACUUUUUUCAAAUAGGACAUGGAGUUUUUCUGCAGCGAGCGUUUUGGUAGAAACUGCGCCUCCCGUUCAUUAUAAUGGUAAAUGACCACAAACAAGUGCGCACACCAUCUUUGGACCUUGAGUGUGACGCGAUCGGGUGGGGGAGGCGGUCGCGCUGGGGGCAGCGUGACACGGCUCGGGCCCGCCAGUGGCCCAACGGGGCCCUAGUUCUUUGUUUCUUUCUUUCUUUCUUUCUUCUUUUUCCUCCCCUUUGAACUGGAAAAUGGCCCACUUCCCACUGGCGAAAACUCAGGAAAUUUGGCAGGACGACCGGGCCUGGUGAAAAAUUCGAUAUUCUGAAGUCGCCCAAACAAUAAAAUGCAAAAUGGCUCCAUAGCGCCCCCUAAGGUGGAAAUUCACACUAUUGACUGUCACGCCUGUACGCUUUGUCAUAUUGACACAAAAAUUGACACACAUAUGUAUCUCAAUAAGAUCUACAAAAAAGUCAGUGCGGCCGUAUCUGUCAAAUGUACGGUUAAAGGGUUAUUUUGCAUUUUUUUCCGAUCCGCACACAUUGGAAUUUCGCUAACUCCUCCGAAGGCUUUCGUUCCACCGGCACCACAUUUGCUCAGGCCAAUCUACACCCCGUGGCCAUUAAAAGUUAUCAAAAUCAUGACGCUGCACCCCAAGGUUUAGGUUCUAGGGGGCGCCAAAGAUAACACUAAAAUCCACAUAUUUAAAAGUCUUAUAACUUUUUAUUUUUGUCCUCACUGGCCUCCAAGUUUUCUAGGAUGAUGCAAUGUCCAGCCAUCAACACAUUUGUGAAGGAAUUUUUACUCCCCAAAAGAGCGCCCCCCAUGGCAGGAGAAAAAAGUCCAUUUUUUCUUGUCCCCUAAGGUGAAAAUACACAUUGUUGACUGUCACGCCUUUACGCUUUGUCAAAAUGACACAAAAAUUGACACACACAUGUAACUCAAUAAGAUCUACGAAAAAGUCAACGCGCGCGUAUCUGUCAAAUGUACGGUUAAAGGGUUAUUCCGCAUUUUUUGCCGAUCCGCACACAUUGGAAUUUCGCUAACUCCUCCGAAGGCUUUCUGUCCACCGGCACCACAUUUGCUCAGGCCAAUCUACACCCCAUGGCCAUUAAAAGUUAUUCAAAUCAUGACGCUGCACCCCACGGUUUAGGUUCUAGGGGGCGCCAAAGACAACCCUAAAAUCCACAUAUUUAAAAGUCUUAUAACUUUUUAUUUUUGUCCUCACUGGCCUCCAAGUUUUCUAGGAUGAUGCAAUGUCCAGCCAUCAACACAUUUGUGAUGCCAUCAACACAUUGUGAUCAACACGUUUGAUUCACGCCUAUACGCUUUGUCAUAUUGACACAAAAUUUGACAAUCACGUGCCUUGCCUGGUAUCAUUUUUUUUCAGCACAACCUCACCUGUGCGAAUUUACAGUUAUUUUAUCAUGUUGACAUACUGAAUUUACACAAUGGACCCAAAUUCACACACAAAACAUAAAAUCCGAGUGGAAAAAAGUAACAUUUUUACUGUGAAAACCACAAAUAUGUGUGAUGAACUGUUUUUAAAACUUAAACUUCAAAUAAAAAUUGUAAACUUCAAAACAUAUGCAAAUUUUUAACAAAGAACAUAGUAAUUUACCUCUAUUUACAUCAAAAUGCAGGCAAUGGCCCAGGUGUUCUUUGUAAAAUUAUUUACAAAACACUGUAUAGUCUCACAAAUGUCACUUUUUAUUUAUGCCACUACAAAAAAACAUGAUGUAAAUGAUGCAUGAUGUAAAACAUGAUGUAAAAAACUUGUGUAGAUCCUCCUCUAUGUCAGUCCAUGUGUAAUUUUUCCAUAAUUCUUUGUUUUUUGCAGCAUUUUUGUUAGUGUAACUGCAGAUUGUGCUGACAGUGUCUAUGGCACAAAAAAAAAAAAAAAUUUAAAAUGCAUCAACAUGAACCCCUGGUGGUCUCUGAGGGUGAAACCUGCUAACUGCUGCAGCUCUGUCAGCUUCAGUCUCCCAUGCAGAGCUCUGAGCGCAUGUGUGGCUCUGCACCCUUAGCAGCGUUGCUAACUCCUCAGUAAGGAAAGCCUGCUUCAUGUCAGAGUCUCUAAACUCCAGAAGAAGUCGAUAAAAGUCCCUUUCUUUCUAAAAAAAAGUCGUUAGGGGGUCUGAAAAGUCAUUGAAUCUAACAACAAAGUCGCUAGGUUUGCAACUACGUAUCCCAGACUGCAUCCCUGCUGAGAGUCCCUCCCUCCCUUCUCAUGUUGCAGGAAGAACGUAAGCGCCCGCCCCUUGUCAAUCAGUCACCAUAUAAUUUUGGAUUGGUUGUUGUGGUGAAGUUUUCCACCAAUAGAAGAGAUGUUGUGGUGUGUUUUUUUUUUCUUUUGGCAAGCCUUUUCCGCCUGUAAGACCUGUCGCUAAUGUCUGCAUGCUAUGUUUUCCUGUCUCAUACAGCGCGAUCGAGCGCCGAACGUGAUGCAGCUACAUCCGGUUAAAUAUGUCAUGUGACUUGAACGCACACACAGACACACACACGCACACACACACACACACACACACACACUCAGAGUCUGGUUUUUAGCACCUGCAAAAACAUGCUAUUUACAUAUUUGACAAGAAUGCAGAGGCUCCUUUUGCCCCUGAAAAAAAUCAAAUUUCAAACACAACUUGACUGGUCAUUUCUCCAAAAGACAACCAUGAAGCUCCAUCCAAACCUGAAGCAGGCAGUUGGUGCAUGUGUACAGUAACCUGAGGGGAGUGAGGUGACUGCUUCUGAGGAGAACAUGAGCAGUGAAGAUUCACCUUGGAGCUAGAACAGAGACAUGCACAUGAUUAUACAGGGGCAGGGGCUCAAGUUUUUUCCAGUCGUUUAUACAAUAUGGAAAUUAAUGUGAAAUUAAAACACAAAGUAUUAAUAGAAAGGUAAUGACUGUCCUGUGUAGGUGACAGUGAUAUCCAAUAGGCUAGGCACUCACGAGGCUGGCUGUGGCAAGUGUAAGUGAAAGCAACACGCACUGGCAGGAAGAACAGCAAACGCCGAUGAAGGAAAAGGGUCUUUGCAGUGAUGGGCGUUACCAGAGAGGGCGAUGGCCAGAGGACACAAAUGGGACGGGGAGGCAGCACGUUGGGGGGGGACGCGACACGGCUCGGGCCCGCCAGUGCCCCAACGGGGUCCUAGUUAUUAUUUUUCCUCCCCUUUAAACUGGAAAAUGGCCCACUUCCCACUGGCGAAAACUCAUGAAAUUUGGCAGGACGACCGGGCCUGGUGAAAAAUUUGAUAUUCUGAAGUCGCCCAAACAAUAAAAUGCAAAAUGGCUCCAUAGCGCCCCCUAAGGUGGAAAUUCACAGUAUUGACUGUCACGCCUGUACGCUUUGUCAAAAUGACACAAAAUUUGACACACAUAUGUAUCUCAAUAAGAUCUACAAAAAAGUCAGCGCGGGCGUAUCUGUCAAAUGUACGGUUAAAGGGCUAUUUCGCAUUUUUUGGCGAUCCGUACACAUUGGAAUUUCGCUAACUCCUCCGAAGGCUUUUGUUCCACCGGCACCACAUUUGCUCAGGCCAAUCUGCACCCCAUGGCCAUUAAAAGUUAUUCAAAUCAUGACGCUGCACCCCACGGUUUAGGUUCUAGGGGGCGCCAAAGAUAACCCUAAAAUCCACAUAUUUAAAAGUCUUAUAACUUUUUAUUUUUGUCCUCACUGGCCUCCAAGUUUUCUAGGAUGAUGCAAUGUCCAGCCAUCAACACAUUUGUGAAGGAAUUUUUACUCCCCAAAAGAGCGCCCCCCCAUGGCAGGAGAAAAAAGUCCAUUUUUUCUUGUCCCCUAAGGUGAAAAUACACAUUGUUGAGUGUCACGCCUCUACACUUUGUCAAAAUGACACAAAAUUUGGCACACAGGUGUGUCUCAAUAAGAUCUACGAAAAAGUCAAUGCGGGCGUAUCUGUCAAAUGUACGGUUAAAGGGCUAUUUCGCAUUUUUUGGCGAUCCGUACACAUUGGAAUUUCGCUAACUCCUCCGAAGGCUUUUGUUCCACCGGCACCACAUUUGCUCAGGCCAAUCUACACCCCAUGGCCAUUAAAAGUUAUUCAAAUCAUGACGCUGCACCCCACGGUUUAGGUUCUAGGGGGCGCCAAAGAUAACCCUAAAAUCCACAUAUUUAAAAGUCUUAUAACUUUUUAUUUUUGUCCUCACUGGCCUCCAAGUUUUCUAGGAUGAUGCAAUGUCCAGCCAUCAACACAUUUGUGAAGGAAUUUUUACUCCCCAAAAGAGCGCCCCCCCAUGGCAGGAGAAAAAAGUCCAUUUUUUCUUGUCCCCUAAGGUGAAAAUACACAUUGUUGAGUGUCACGCCUCUACACUUUGUCAAAAUGACAAAAAAUUUGGCACACAGGUGUAUCUCAAUAAUAUCUACGAAAAAGUCAAUGCGGGCGUAUCUGUCAAAUGUACGGUUAAAGGGCUAUUUCGCAUUUUUUGGCGAUCCGUACACAUUGGAAUUUCGCUAACUCCUCCGAAGGCUUUUGUUCCACCGGCACCACAUUUGCUCAGGCCAAUCUGCACCCCAUGGCCAUUAAAAGUUAUUCAAAUCAUGACGCUGCCCACGGUUUAGGUUCUAGGGGGCGCCAAAGAUAACCCUAAAAUCCACAUAUUUAAAAGUCUUAUAACUUUUUAUUUUUGUCCUCACUGGCCUCCAAGUUUUCUAGGAUGAUGCAAUGUCCAGCCAUCAACACAUUUGUGAAGGAAUUUUUACUCCCUAAAAGAGCGCCCCCCCAUGGCAGGAGAAAAAGUCAAGUUUUUCCUGCCCAUCGCUCAACGGCUCAAACACAUCGCUCUCUCGGCAAAACCGAAAGGAGGAGAAACUUGCCAUUUGGAUAUAUCCUAGCUGUGUUUGUGCCCUCACUCAUGGUCCAGACUUUUUUCAAAUAGGACAUGUAGUUUGUCUGCAGCGAGCGUUUUGGUAGAAACUGCGCCUCCCAUUCAUUAUAAUGGUAAAUGACCACAGACAAGUGCGCACACCAUCUUUGGACCUUGAGUGUGACGCGAUCGGGAGGGAGAGGCGGUCGUGUUGGGGGCGGCGCGACACAGCUCGGGCCCGCCAGUGCCCCACUGGGGCCCUAGUUAGGGCCCGAGCGUAGCUGCUAAGCAGCUGCGAGAGCCCUAUUAUUCCCCAAGUGGUUUUUCUUUGUUUCUUUCUUUCUUUCUUUCUUUCUUUCUUCUUUUUCCUCCCCUUUGAACUGGAAAAUGGCCCACUUCCCACUGGCGAAAACUCAUGAAAUUUGGCAGGACGACCGGGCCAGGUGAAAAAUUCGAUAUUCUGAAGUCGCCCAAACAAGAAAAUGCAAAAUGGCUCCAUAGCGCCCCCUAAGGUGGAAAUUCACACUAUUGACUGUCACGCCUGUACGCUUUGUCAUAUUGACACAAAAAUUGACACACAUAUGUAUCUCAAUAAGAUCUACAAAAAAGUCAGUGCGGCCGUAUCUGUCAAAAUUACGGUUAAAGGGUUAUUUCGCAUUUUUUGCCGAUCCGCACACAUUGGAAUUUCGCUAACUCCUCCGAAGGCUUUCGUUCCACCGGCACCACAUUUGCUCAGGCCAAUCUACACCCCGUGGCCAUUAAAAGUUAUCAAAAUCAUGACGCUGCACCCCAAGGUUUAGGUUCUAGGGGGCGCCAAAGAUAACACUAAAAUCCACAUAUUUAAAAGUCUUAUAACUUUUUAUUUUUGUCCUCACUGGCCUCCAAGUUUUCUAGGAUGAUGCAAUGUCCAGCCAUCAACACAUUUGUGAAGGAAUUUUUACUCCCCAAAAGAGCGCCCCCCCAUGGCAGGAGAAAAAAGUCCAUUUUUUCUUGUCCCCUAAGGUGAAAAUACACAUUGUUGAGUGUCACGCCUAUACGCUUUGUCAAAAUGACACAAAAAUUGACACACACAUGUAACUCAAUAAGUUCUACGAAAAAGUCAGUGCGCGCGUAUCUGUCAAAUGUACGGUUAAAGGGUUAUUCCGCAUUUUUUGCCGAUCCGCACACAUUGGAAUGUGGCUAACUCCUCCUAAGGCUUUCGUUCCACCGGCACCACAUUUGCUCAGGCCAAUCUACACCCCAUGGCCAUUAAAAGUUAUUCAAAUCAUGACGCUGCACCCCACGGUUUAGGUUCU
rnacentral:lncRNA from 1 species